rnacentral:lncRNA from 1 species
UCGUCGCUAAAGCGUCGCAGUAGGUCGCCUCGCUAAAAAUUUAGCGACGAUAUUGGAUAUCGUCGCUAAUUAUCAGCGAGUAUCAGCGACGAUGUGACAUCGUCGCUGAUAUAAUCCCACACGCUUAAUCGUCGCUUAAUCGUCGCUAAUAUUUGAAAAAAAUCGUCGCUAAAUCGUCGCUAAUAUUUGAAAUAGAUCGUCGCUAAUAUUUGAAAUAGAUCGUCGCUA